UACGAAGGGGGCUAGCGUUGCUCGGAAUCACUGGGCGUAAAGGGUGCGUAGGCGGGUUCUUAAGUCAGAGGGGAAAUCCUGGAGCUCAACUCCAGAACUGCCUUUGAUACUGAGAGUCUUGAGUUCGGGAGAGGUGAGUGGAACUGCGAGUGUAGAGGUGAAAUUCGUAGAUAUUCGCAAGAACACCAGUGGCGAAGGCGGCUCACUGGCCCGAUACUGACGCUGAUGCACGAAAGCGUGGGGAGCAAACAGG
rnacentral:rRNA from 1 species